GUGAAAACGUAAAAAAAAAAGUUGAUGCAGGAUAAAUAUGAAGUCUCAUUUUUCAAUUUCAAUUAUUUUAGAAGUUGUUCUUACAUCAAAGAUCUAUGAGUUAUAAGUGAGUAGAGCAUAAGGUGAGUCAACAGUAUAAUGUGGAAGCUAGAACAAUUAAGGAUGUAUAUAAUAGAAGUUCAGUUUCCAAAUCGGACCAGGCAGCAGUUUUUGGAAAACUUUGUUCUGUUCUGGGUACCAUAUGUUAAAUGUGCCUGCAGAUUGCAUGAACUUCGUAAAUUUUAAAUAACUUGAGGGUAUGUUUAGUUGAGAAGAGGAAUCUAAGAGUAUAGGAAAGGAAAAUAUCCUUGGUGCCAGAAUUUUAAAAAGGAUAUUAAAACCUUUUUAAUGAAAAAUGAUAAAAGGAUAUUAAAACCAGAUAUAAGUUGUAUGGACUAGUGUUUUAAUGUAUAAAUGGAUAUAGAGAUUCCUGCACAAAUCUAGGACUUUUAAAGGAGUGCUAAAAACUGAAUGUAACAUAUCUGGAGUACUUGGCAGAAACUGAACUGUAGUAAUACUUAAGACUAGUUGUGACUCACAGCUUGUCCAUAGACAAGCAAUUCCUACUGAAAUUGAGGAUGCAAUAAAAAGUGUGUGUAUUGUAUAUUUCAAAAUAGAUAGAAGAGAGUAAUUCAAAUGUUCAAGGGGAUUGGGUUUAGAGAUGGAAAUUUACCCCAAGACAGAAGAGUUAGAGCCGUCCCUAGCACAAAGACAAAUAUUUAAGGUGAUGGAUAUCCCAGUUACAUGGAUUUGGUCUUGAACUACAUGAACAUAUUAAAUUAGCACAUGUACCCUAAAUACGUACAUUUAUUGUGUUUCAAUGAAGAAGUGAAAAAGGAUUUAAUUAUGGUUUUAGGAUAUCACUAAGAAAAUAUUCCAGCAUGUCAUGUCUUUUUAAGUGUAUUUAUCUGUAAUUGCUUUAUCAAUGUAAAUACAUACUGGCUUUCUAUGUUAAAAAGCAAAAAAUUCUUGGCCAAAAAAAAAAAAAAAAAGCAUGCCACUGAGGGAAAACCAGAAGACAUAAUAGUCUGGAAAAUUAGCAACCUACCUAAUUGAAUUAAAAGAAAAACUUGAAUGAGAUUUUAAAGUAUAUUUUAAAAAUAAUUUGAAAGAUAAAAGAAUAAAAGCCACAAAGAGCAGAGCAUUAUGAAACAGGCUGAGGUAUCGUUGAUAAGAAUCCAUUAGGAUGUGUAGAAAUGAGAAAAUAGGGCUAGGCGUGGUGGUUCACGCCUGUAAUCCCAGCAUGAGAUCAUGCCAUUGCACUCCAGCCUGCAUGAUAGAGCAAGAGUUGGUCUAAAAAUAAAAAAUAAAAAAUAAAAAAUGAGAAAACAGUCAUAAGAAAAAAAACAAACUCUGGCCAGGUGCAGUGGUUCAUGCUUGUAAUCACAGCACUUUGGGAGUCCCACAUGGGAGAAUCACCUGAGCCCAGGAGUCUCUCCCAGCCUGGGCAACAUAGCAAGACUGUCUCAACAAGCAAACUCAAGGUGUGAGACUGGACCCAGCUAAAAAGAGAAUAUGUGAAAUUACCAGAGUAUGUUAACAGAUAAAUAAAUGGAAAUUAUGGGGGAGGUUAAGGGACAGAAGAUAGAAUGAAAAGUCCAAUAUGAGCCUUGUAGGAGUUCCAGAGUGAAGACUGGAAGAGCAGCAACAUUCAAAGAAAUGGUAGCUGAGAAUUUCUCAGAGUUGAUGAAAAAUGUAAUUCCUCAGAUUGCAGAAGCACUUUGAGUCCAAAGCAGAUAAAUAAAAGUAGAUCUAUACCUAAGGUCAUGCCAUUGGAAAUCUACAGAAUACUAAGGAAAUUUGAAAGCAACCAGCAGGACAAAUUACCUAUAAACAGCAAACUAAUAGCCUUCUCAUCAGUAAUUAUACAGGUCCAAAAUUAUGUAUAUACAGAUGCUAACACAUGGUAAAUGUUCAAUGAGUGAUAAAAUAUUAACUUUGAGAACAGAUAUGAUGAUGGCUAUCUUUUUUUGGAAAAAGGAAAUGUGAUCUUUCAAAAGGCAAAACAUCAGAGAAUCUUGGGGUUGGAGAAGACUGAAAAAUGACUCAGUUCAUUUCUAUAGAUAUAAAUAUUUUGCUUAACCAGGGCCAGUGUGUGUUCAUCCCAAGAGAUCUUGUCUAAUAUUCAAACAGGCAGUUAAGGAGGCUGUCCUCUUCCUAUCAAGGUAUGUGUUCACAUGGAAAUUAGGCAGCUAUUUAACAGGUCUGAGGGAUGUUUCUGUAUUGAGACUGACCCAGUAGCCUCUGCGAUUACUUGCAAUAACAUCUCUGGAUGUUAGUAAUAUGAGAAACUCAUUUUGCGUGUAAUACUUCAUAUUUUUCAAAACAAUCCUGUGAAGGAGUUAAGGCAGGUAUUUGAAUUCUCAUUUUAGGUAAAACCUUAGGAAGCAACUCUUUUAAAUUGGGUUUUAUAACUAAAACUGGCUCAUGAUGAUGUGCUUUAAAACUUUCAGAGUGUGCUUCAUUUCUCACUUCUGAAUCAUGGAGGUUUGGACAUGGCAAAGAAAACCAGGGAUUAGACUUGGAUUGGUAUGAGGUAAAGGAAAUGUGUAAUCAGGAAAUAAAUAUUCUUCCUGCUGCUUGUUAGUAAGGGAGAAGCAUGUGCUCCCAAUUAAAACUUAAGAGCCUUCUGUUUUCUAGAUUGUUUUUCAUUUAUGGACAAAGCUAUUCCUUCAAUUCUAAGGAAUUGGCUAGGCAGAUGAAUAAUUGGGUUGAUUUAGUGUUUUUAAAAGUUAAAUGUUUGAAACUAAUAUUUUAAUAUAUAAAUGUUUUUAAAGAUAGCUCUAUCAUUUAAAAAUUAUGUUUAAUAUCAGUAGGUUUAAUAUAACAAAUUUAUGAAAACAGAAAACAUGGCCAAUUUUAAAUCUUUAUUAACUGAAACAUAAGAGAAUGUACUAUUUCAAGCUAAAGGUGAACUAAGUAUUUAGGAAGAGAGUUUGUUUUUUCAAUCUCAUGUAAAACAAAAAGUAUGUGAGACAAAUCUCAAUCAGUUUAGAAGUUUAUUGUGCCACGAUUGAAGACACACCCAGGAGACAGAUCUGUGCCUUUCUCCACAGAUGAUUUUGAGGGCUUCAAUAUUUAAAGGGGCAAAGCAGGCUGGAGGGGAAAUAGGAAGUGUAGGGUCACAUUACUGAAUCCACAGGUUGCAAGAUAAAACCACAUAGGGGAAUAGUGAAUUAUGUAUUCGUCUUAUGCUCAGUAAAUCUGUGCUGUACACAAGAUAAGGUGAUAGAGUGGAGAUAUUUGACCUUUAUCUGUAGCUAUCUGCUUAGGAACUAAAGGAAAGGCAGUUGCUUGCAUGACUCAGCUUUCAGCUUAAAUUUUUCCAUUUGGCCUAGUGAAUUGGAGUCCCGAGUUUCUAUUUUCCUUUCACAUUUCUCCCCACUUUUCUUUUUAAAAUCUUUCAGAUAAAGCAUUUUAGAAGAAAAUGACUCUCUGGUCUUGGGUUUUGUCUGAUCUUUUGUGGCUAGGACAGUUUAUUCCUAGACGAAUAGGUCUCAU
rnacentral:lncRNA from 10 species